rnacentral:lncRNA from 1 species
CAGGCAAGAUAUUAUUUGCUAUGAAGGAGUGAGACUGGAUUUUUCUGGGAUUGAGUUUCCAAUCACAAACAAAGGAAUAAAGAGAUUCGAAUUAUCCAAUGCUAAUAUUAGCAUAAAUGUGUAUGAAAUCGAUGACAAUGGAAAAAACGUUGUAGGACCAACAGUGAGGACUAAAGCAAUUCGAGGACAUCACAUCAACCUAUUAGGGAUUAAUAA